rnacentral:rRNA from 1 species
UACAGAGGGGGCAAGCGUUAUUCGGAAUUAUUGGGCGUAAAGAGCGUGUAGGCGGCCAGGUAGGUCUGCUGUGAAAACUCGAGGCUCAACCUCGAGACGUCGGCGGAAACCAUCUGGCUAGAGUCCGGAAGAGGAGAGUGGAAUUCCGUGGUGUAGCGGUGAAAUGCGCGGAUAUCAGGAAGAACACCCGUGGCGAAGGCGGCUGCACUGGCCCGCAUACUGACGCUGAGGUGCGAAAGCGUGGGGA